rnacentral:rRNA from 1 species
CUGGCUCAGGAUGAACGCUAGCUACAGGCUUAACACAUGCAAGUCGAGGGGCAGCAGAUCGAAAGCUUGCUUUGAUGCUGGCGACCGGCGCACGGGUGAGUAACGCGUAUCCAACCUUCCCUAUAGUAGAGAAUAGCCCGGCGAAAGUCGGAUUAAUGCUCUAUGUUGUAUUUAGAGGACAUCUGAAGAAUACCAAAGGUUUACCGCUAUAAGAUGGGGAUGCGUCUGAUUAGGUUGUUGGCGGGGUAACGGCCCACCAAGCCCACGAUCAGUAGGGGUUCUGAGAGGAAGGUCCCCCACAUUGGAACUGAGACACGGUCCAAACUCCUACGGGAGGCAGCAGUGAGGAAUAUUGGUCAAUGGACGCAAGUCUGAACCAGCCAAGUAGCGUGCAGGAUGACGGCCCUAUGGGUUGUAAACUGCUUUUAUACAGGGAUAAAGUGAGGGACGUGUCCCUUUUUGUAGGUACUGUAUGAAUAAGGACCGGCUAAUUCCGUGCCAGCAGCGGC